rnacentral:tRNA from 4 species
GCGGAUGUAGCUCAAUUGGGAGAGCGCCGGACAUAAUCCGGAGGUUGUGGGUUCGAGUCCCGUCGUCUGCACCA